rnacentral:miRNA from 1 species
AUUGGUAACACAUACGUCUUUAG